UUCGCGGUGGGGCGGAGGGCGGGGGACGUGGCUUCCCAGCUGGGUCUUUGGAAGAAAAGCUCCCGGGUGGAUCUCCGCCCUGCCUCCCGUGGGAGCCUGACCUGUCCCUCAUCAGUCACUGGUUUUAUUGAACUAGGAGUGUCAACGGUUUCAGGGCCCCGAGGCCCGGUAGAACAGGCGCUCAGAGCCUCAGUCCCUCUCACCCCUUCUUGGCUCCAGGCUACUGUCUGUCUCUCUCAGGAUUUUCCCCAAGGAGGUGCCAGCUGCCAAGAUUCCCCUGGCCUCUUUGCAGAGCCGGCGGGUGGAGGGAGCCUGCCCUUGGGGGCCUCCCUACAGUCAGGGGCUGAAUACCAGACUCUCCGAUGGCGUUAGCUCCCUGAGCUGCUGGGUCUGGUGUCUUAGCCCAGGGUGGCAUUUCUGACCAGCUCAGGUUCUCAGGGAGCCACGGGGAGGGUUUGCACCUGAAGAGGGAGGGUCAGACUGUCCAGAUGAGGCAGCAAAGCCUGGAAUCUAGACCCCAGCCCUUCCCCACCUUCCUUCCUGGGCAGAACCUACCUACGGAGCCUAUGGGUGCUAGGCUCGGAGCGCAAGAUGGAGGACUCAGCGGCAGAGGCGUUGUCCUCAACCAGGAGUUGGGAGUUUCAGAGGAGGAUGGGAUCCCUUGUGGACUGAAAGGCAGGAAGGAUUCAGAGAGAAGGAUGGGCAUGUAGCCUGGCCUUGGAGGAGGCGGUGGGCCAGGGACAGGAUGGGGGCAGGGUUCCUGAGGAUGCUGGGCAUUCAGUCGGGCCCCAGCUCCUCUUAGCACGUCCUCCCGCGAGCUGCUGCAGUGAGCUGUGACAGUGAGUCCUCCACAGAGCUGUACCUCAUUGUCGCCAGGAGUGGAUGAGCGGUUGGGUCAUCUGGCGUUAAAAAUUCAAGGCGGGUUAUUUUUCCAUUUUAUUCCGUUCAGCCCUGUUACAGCAAGCGCCUCCGUGUGGCAGGCCCCGUUUCGGAUGUCACAGGAGAUGCCGGUUUUGACCUUGGAGGGUCACUAAUCAGGCCCCAGAGACAGAUCUGUGUGUCCCACGUGCAGUGGCCGGCGUGCCAGAGGUCACCCGUCCUGGUGUGAAGGUUAACGAAGUCCCCCUGGAGCUCAGAGGAGGGGGCAGCCCCUCUGAUUGAAGAGGAAGUCCUGAGUCUUUCCCGGCACCCGAGGUGGGGACUGAGAGGCCCCUGGACACGAGGAGGGGGCAGAGCCCACCUGCGCCCCCAGGGCAAGUUAGUGCCAAGCUGUGGAGGGACACGCAGAGGCCACAGCAGAGCCCCGCGGUAGGCUGCUGUUGCGUGUGCAGGGGACGGGGAGUGUCAGACAGGGGACCGGCAGUGGGGACAGAGAGGAGCGGACCCAUCCUAGAGGCCCGAGGCGCAGGGCUCUCGUAGCCGAGCAAGCGGGCAGGUCUGGGCGGCCGGCAGGAAACGACGCAGGCACCGACCGCCCAUCAGUCCACUGAGGCCGGGGCCGCAGAGAGGCGUGUGUGUGUGUGUGUUCUGUUCUGUGUUGAUUGGAGUGGGGUGAUGGAAUAAUUCGUGAUCCAUGCCAGGCCCUUCUGAGGGCGAAAGCAGCAUUAACGACCGUUGACCUGGGCCAUCAGGCUGGCCUGGGCCGAGCAGACAGGGACAUCAUGUCUCCCUAGCUACAGCCCCUCUUGUCUGCGAGACACCCGGGGGAAGAAAAUGCCAAGGGGCAGGUGGGGUGUGAGCACACUGUCCCCAGCAGGGGUUACUGCACGACGGGAAAGGCAGGCGAGGGCCGAGGCCGGGGUCAGGAGGCCUUUGGCCUGCCCUCCCCACCCCCAGGCCUGGGUCUUCCCUGAAGACCCCCACUCGCAGGGUGGAGACCGGUGGGCUGCCUUUUCAGGUUUGGUCAGGCUGCUGGUGAAGGACACUCUUGUCCUGGGAGGCCCUGCAGCCUCCGCCCCUGGAAGGCCAGCCCCGGCUGUGCUGCCUCGCCUGAGUGGGGACACGUGGGGGCCGCCAGGGGCAGCUGGGGACAGGCCCCAUGCCUCCUGGGCACACGGCAGCCCAGGCCCGGGGCGUGUGUGGUUCUGAAAGCUCGAGAUGAACGCCCAGCUGCCGCAGGUGGACGAGAAGAGCGGCAGGGCACCAAGAGGGCCGUGGAAGCAGGGCUGGAGGGGAGCAGACCUGGGCUGUUUAUUAGAAACAUCAGGCCUCACGCUUCCGGGGCCGUGGCCUUGUGGUCCCGAGUGUGCGGCGGAUUCUCUCUGCUGGGGCCUGGGUGGCGGGCCUUUCCACCUUUCUCUGGGCGGCAGGAAGCCACGGGGGCCUGGCCUGCCACGUGCCCAGCCUGGCUUCAGUGAUCAAAGCCAAAUCCAUGAUGCUGGCCUCUCCUCCCCCUCAGGGCUGGAACCAGUCCCCUCGUGGCGUCUCAUCCUAGUGAGCUGAGAGUCCAGGCCCCUGCAGAUGAGCAUGGAGCCCGCAGGGAGGAGACGGCCUGCCUCUCUCCUCUCGCACCCCAGGGCCCUCUCAGGCCCCCGGGGCUCCGGACGUCCAGAAGGAGAGUGGCCUGCCUUGGUCACAUCGCAGAAUGUGAAAUAAGAAAAGGCGUUCUGGCGCUCCGGCAGCACGACACACCGGUGAACCUUCCAACCAGUGAAGGACAUUUUCAAAACAGAAUUCGUCUGUAGUCCCGUUGCUCGAGUUUUCCGUUUUGUCGACGUCGAGUCUCAGAUGUCCUCCACGUCCGUAUUCCUCGAACACCUGCUUCAGAGGCGAGUUUGCAGCCAGAUGGUGCAGUUUCAGGCUGCCUGUCUCAAGUAAUGUAAAUCCACGGUUUCCUAUGUUGCUGAAUCUUCCAAUUCCUUUGCUUUGGUCAUUUAGGUUGGUUGUAGUAUUUUUUUGCAGUAUUUUUAUUUAUACAAAUUUGUAAUAAAUAACAGCACUUACCACUUUUUUCUUCA